rnacentral:rRNA from 1 species
UACGUAGGGUGCGAGCGUUGCCCGGAUUUAUUGGGCGUAAAGGGCGCGUAGGCGGCCACGCACGUCCGUUGUGAAAUCGCCCGGCUCAACUGGGCGGGGUCGGCGGAUACGGCGUGGCUGGAGCAAGCUAGGGGGCAAUGGAAUUCCCGGUGUAGUGGUGGAAUGCGUAGAUAUCGGGAGGAACACCAGUGGCGAAGGCGGUUGCCUGGAGCUUUGCUGACGCUGAGGCGCGAAAGUGUGGGGAGCGAACAGG